AGCGCAUGUGCUGUGAGCUCGAUGAGUAGGGCGGGACACGUGGUAUCCUGUCUGAAUAUGGGGGGACCAUCCUCCAAGGCUAAAUACUCCUGACUGACCGAUAGUGAACCAGUACCGUGAGGGAAAGGCGAAAAGAACCCCGGCGAGGGGAGUGAAAAAGAACCUGAAACCGUGUACGUACAAGCAGUGGGAGCACAGGUUUACCUGUGUGACUGCGUACCUUUUGUAUAAUGGGUCAGCGACUUAUAUUCUGUAGCAAGGUUAACCGUAUAGGGGAGCCGGAGGGAAACCGAGUCUUAAUUGGGCGUUAAGUUGCAGGGUAUAGACCCGAAACCCGGUGAUCUAGCCAUGGGCAGGUUGAAGGUUGGGUAACACUAACUGGAGGACCGAACCGACUAAUGUUGAAAAAUUAGCGGAUGACCUGUGGCUGGGGGUGAAAGGCCAAUCAAACCGGGAGAUAGCUGGUUCUCCCCGAAAGCUAUUUAGGUAGCGCCUCGUGAAUUCAUCUCCGGGGGUAGAGCACUGUUUCGGCUAGGGGGCCAUCCCGGCUUACCAACCCGAUGCAAACUGCGAAUACCGGAGAAUGUUAUCACGGGAGACACACGGCGGGUGCUAACGUCCGUCGUGAAGAGGGAAACAACCCAGACCGCCAGCUAAGGUCCCAAAGUCAUGGUUAAGUGGGAAACGAUGUGGGAAGGCCCAGACAGCCAGGAUGUUGGCUUAGAAGCAGCCAUCAUUUAAAGAAAGCGUAAUAGCUCACUGGUCGAGUCGGCCUGCGCGGAAGAUGUAACGGGGCUAAACCAUG
rnacentral:rRNA from 1 species